UAGCACACAGACAUCGACACAACACCUGCCACAAACCUCCAAUCUCUGCUUUUAUUCCAGUCAACAUGUUCUCCUUGAUGAAACUUUCCUUAAACCUCAUGAGAAGGAUGAAGCUGAGCUAAACAUAGACGGGGGAAACGACCUUAUUAUCAGCGAUUGUUCCUGCUGUUCAAGGAAAAUGCACUGGUAACAACUAAAAAAAGACGACCAAAAAUAUAAUUCAACAGAGGAUGAUGGCUGUGGUGAAACAAGCACUCAAAUAAUGGAACUAAGACCAGUGGGAGUGCUGGAGAAAUCAAGUGUAUAAGUCCUCUGUCGUCUCAUCCAUGGAAGAGAUCUUCAGACAUGAAGAGAUCGAGGAGUUAAAUGAAAUCAAAGAGCUAAAAGAAGAUCUACAAUAUUAGUGCCAUUUCAGUAUGAAAACAGAGAGAGAGCUGAGGCAGUGGAAAGAAAUGCAUGUUAUUGUUCAAGGGGUAGUUGAAUGGACUAUCAAUGCAGGAACAGAAAGCUCUGAGAUUUCAUUAUAAAGAUCUUCAAUUGUGUUCUGAAGAUGAAUGAAGGACUUGCGGGUUUGGAACGAUAUGAGGACUACAUCCAAAAUAGUGUUUCCACAUCUGAGAUGAAGGCAAUCAUAAGAACCAAGCAAAACGAUGAGGAUAAGCUCUUCAAAAAAUGAAACCCGUCAGAAUAAUGCGGGAAGAAAUGUGCAUGAUUGUGUGAUUUGUAAAUAAACACUAAAUACAUUUAGUGUAACUCUCAGCCUGUUAUUUUAAGUUUAAAGAAAAGUAAAAUCAUUUAUUGUUGCAUUGCUGUUUGAGACAUUCACUGUUGUUUUGUACCUUAAUUUAUUAUAUUGCAGUUGUGUAAAAUAAAACUUGUUAUUCUGAAUAUUCUGGUUGCAUUUCAG